CCCAAAACACCCUUGCCCCGGCAAAAUCAAAAGAAUAAACACUAAGGCAUGAACUAGAGUGAAAAUUGAGGGUAGAACAAACAGGUGAGCAUGCAGCACAUGAAUGUACAUGAUCUCAUAUCAGGUGAUGUUCAUGGGCUCAAAACAGGUGGGAUAAGGGAGAAAAUUAAAUCAAUUCAUACCAAUCCAUGUACGUGAUAACCUCAAAUGAAAUCCAAGAGAAUGAGAUAUUAGCAGGGCAAACAUAUCCAAACAGAAAAUGAAACGAUCAAUGAACAUGUGAACAAGCCAGAAAUUAACAAAACUUAUAUAUGACUCCUGUUAUCCAUAAGACAAGCGGGACCCCAAGUAGCAAGAGAAGAAAAUGAAAGAUCAAUGAUAAUGAAGAUGAACAAGAGGUACACAGUAAACUUAUCUGAGAGUUCUUUCACAGUUCUUGCCUG
rnacentral:lncRNA from 1 species